CCUACGGGUGGCAGCAGUGAGGAAUAUUGGGCAAUGGACGGAAGCCUGAACCAGCCACGCCGCGUGCAGGAAGACGGCUCUAUGAGUUGAAAACUGCUUUUGUACAAGGGUAAACAUGAAUACGUGUAUUCAGCUGAAAGUACUGUACGAAAAAGGAACGGCUCACUACGCUCCAGCAGCCGCGGUAAUACGGAGGUUACAAGCGGUAUCCGGAUUUAUUGGGUUUAAAGGGUGCGUAGGCGGAUUGAUAAGUUAGAGGUGAAAUGGCCGGGCUUAACUCGGGAGUUGCCUUUGAUACUGGUGAUCUAGAGUGCAGAAGAGGUAAGCGGAAUGUAUGGUGUAGCGGUGAAAUGCGUAGAGAUCAGGAGGAACACCGAUGGCGAAGGCAGCUUACUGGUCUAUAACUGACGUUGAGGCGCGAAAGCGUGGGGAGCAAACAGGAUUAGAUACCCGAGUAGUC
rnacentral:rRNA from 1 species